rnacentral:lncRNA from 1 species
UCAAAUACGCUUCCAUGGCAACUCACAAGUUCAGCAGUUUGCUGCCAAGAGGAUGGGAUUCAUAUUUAGUCCCUAGGUACCGUUAAGAAGUGGCACACUAUUGUAAGUAUAUUGCUCUAGGAGCCCUUCAUUAUGAGAGUCAAAAGAUGAAGUAUCUGGCUAUUUUGGGUUUAUAAGUCACUAAAAUUUACCUAUAGUCGGCUGAGCAUUUCUGAAAUGAUCAUUUCCUGUUUCAGUACCAUGAACAAAUCUCAACUCUCACUUCUCCAAAACUGAUUAUAACUUAGUGUUUCAGUGCCUUCCUGCACAGUAGUGCCUUCUCCUGCAGUUAGUUCCCUUUGACGUUUAGGAACUACUUUGAUCAUGUCAGGCCCUUGCUUAAAAGCCCAUUGAUGGUUCAUUGUAAUUAUAGAACAGCGUUUUGGUAUAAAGACCCCUUCUUCUCUCCUCCCACCUCCUGCUGGGAUCUUUUACCUUGUCCUCCUAGUUCACCUCAGUUCUUUGUUAGUUUGCAGACUCUAAUAACCUUUAAUUAUACCAGUUAGGAUUAAAAAAAAUUAUUUAUUUUCACAUGUAGGAUAUUUUUCUUCUAAUUUUUAAUUUAUUUUCAUGUGUGUGGAUGUUUGCCAACAUGUCUGUGUACCUCUUUGGUGCCUGGUGCUCCCUGAGGAGGGAGUCAGAUCCUCUGAGACUGGUGUUAGCAUCCACAUAGGUGCUAGGACUUGAUCCUGGGUCACAGGAUGAGCAGCCACUGGGGUAUCUCUUCAGCCAGCUAUAGUUCCUUUAAAAUUCACAGCAGCACUUUAACCCUUUAAACACCUUUGAUCUCAGCCUUGGGGAGGCAGGCAGAUCUGAGUCUAGUCUACAGUCAGUUCCAGGACAGCCAGUGCAACAUAGUGAGGCCCUGUCUGCAAAGACAAGACUGAAGGUUCAGACAAAUGACAUUUUCUACCUUGAUGUCUUAGUUUGCCCUCCCUAGAUCCAUGGUCUUCCAUCUUUUCUGAAGUAUAUAGUAUAGCUGUUUUGUGUGUGGGGAGGGUGUGGUGGUGGGGAGACAGGAAUUUUGCUGUUUUUGUUCAGGUUAGCUUCAGCUUACAGCUGUCUUCUGCCUCAGUCUUCCAAGUGCUGGAACUACAGAUGUUUGCCUAGCUUUUCCUUAAUGUCUUUGUUAGACAUCUCCCCCGACUUUAUGUGAUUUCUGAUCCAGCUGUAUACACACCUUGGUGCUGAGCAUGAAAAGUGGUACUAAGUAAGAUAAAGAACAUUUGGGGGGGGGGCAGGGAUUAAGCUUAACAAAAUACUAAACAGACAUUUUGAAACCUUUACAAUAUUCUUAGUUAUAAGGUAUCAUCCCAUUUUUUUUCUAGCGUGUAAACAGGAAUUCUUGAGACCUGUAUAAAAGCAAACUAUUUCUCCCCCUAGUAUACUAAAAAAUGUGUUUCAAAACAUUUCAUUUAAUGUGUGAAGACAGUAUAUAUAGAUCAGAUGCCUGGUUGCUCUAAAGAGCACCCACCUUUUUAUGCACUGAGAGCUGGCAAGUUCAUGCUGUUAAGUGGAAAAUGUCUGUGUUCUAAGGACUGUUCUACAUACUGCUGUCUAGAAUAAACAAUGUUUCACCACU